GAUAAACGCUGGCGGCGUGCCUAAUACAUGCAAGUCGAACGCUGGAAACCUAUUUCGGUAGGUUGAAGGAGUGGCGAACGGGUGAGUAAUACAUAAGCAACCUGCCCACGAAGACCGGGAUAAUCCCUGGAAACGGGGACUAAUACCGGAUAGGCAACGAGGAGGCAUCUUCUUGUUGUUAAAGAUUAAAAGCACUGGUGGAUGGGCUUAUGGCGCAUUAGCUGGUUGGUGAGGUAACGGCCCACCAAGGCGAUGAUGCGUAGCCGGCCUGAGAGGGUGAACGGCCACAUUGGGACUGAGACACGGCCCAGACUCC
rnacentral:rRNA from 1 species